UGUCAAAGGAGCAAUCCGCUGAAAGAUGGACUCGCGUCCGAUUAGAUAGUAGGCGGGGUAACGGCCCACCUAGUCGACGAUCGGUAGCCGGACUGAGAGGUUGAACGGCCACAUUGGGACUGAGACACGGCCCAGACUCCUACGGGAGGCAGCAUG
rnacentral:rRNA from 1 species